GUGCCUUUGGCCGAGUGGUUAAGGUGGUGGACUGCUAAUCCAUUGUGCUUCGCACGCGUGAGUUCGAAUCUCACAGGGCACG